CAAUGUCGGUCGUCAUAAAAUGGCGGGAGGAAUGUAGCUUCUCCGGAAGUGUUAUAGCCUCUGGUAGAUGUGAUAACUGAGAUUGAGGAUUGCAACGAAUACCCUCUGGGCUACUUGUCUGGCCUCUGGUCGUCGCUUUGGUGCCGAAAGCGUGCUUAUGGUAUUAAAGUAGGUGGUCAAAAGGUUAGAACGGGUUAAAUUCGUUAAGGAUGUUGACGUAAUGACUUUGAACGACCCGUCUUGAAACACGG
rnacentral:rRNA from 1 species